rnacentral:misc_RNA from 1 species
GAAAUGCGAUACUUGGUGUGAAUUGCAGAAUCCCGUGAACCAUCGAGUCUUUGAACGCACAUUGCGCCCGCCAGCACUCUGGCGGGCAUGCCUGUUCGAGCGUCAUUACACCACUCAAGCUAUGCUUGGUAUUGGGUGCCGUCCUUAGUUGGGCGCGCCUUAAAGACCUCGGCGAGGCCUCACCGGCUUUAGGCGUAGUAGAAUUUAUUCGAACGUCUGUCAAAGGAGAGGACUUCUGCCGACUGAAACCUUUAUUUUUCUAGGUUGACCUCGGAUCAGGUAGGGAUACCCGCUGAACUUAA